GCGGUCAUGGCGGAAUUGGUAGACGCAUCAGCUUGAGGGGCUGACGGGUAACACCGUGGAGGUUCGAGUCCUCUUGACCGCACCA
rnacentral:tRNA from 1 species